GAUGAACGCUAGCGGGAGGCCUAACACAUGCAAGCCGAGCGGUAGAAUUUCUUCGGAGAUUUGAGAGCGGCGUACGGGUGCGUAACACGUGUGCAACCUACCUUUAUCUGGGGGAUAGCCUUUCGAAAGGAAGAUUAAUACCCCAUAAUAUAAUGAAUGGCAUCAUUUAUUAUUGAAAACUCCGGUGGAUAGAGAUGGGCACGCGCAAGAUUAGAUAGUUGGUGAGGUAACGGCUCACCAAGUCAAUGAUCUUUAGGGGCCUGAGAGGGUGAUCCCCCACACUGGUACUGAGACACGGACCAGACUCCUACGGGAGGCAGCAGUGAGGAAUAUUGGACAAUGGGUGAGAGCCUGAUCCAGCCAUCCCGCGUGAA
rnacentral:rRNA from 1 species